rnacentral:rRNA from 1 species
GACGAACGCUGGCGGCGUGCUUAACACAUGCAAGUCGAACGAGGUCCACCGCGUAGCAAUACAAGGGAAGACCUAGUGGCGAACGGGUGCGUAACACGUGAGGAACUUGUCCCGGUCUCUGGGAUAACAGUUGGAAACGACUGCUAAUACCGGAUGACGUCGGAAUCUCGCAUGGGAUACUGACGAAAGGGUUACUGGAUCGGGAGAGCCUCGCGGCCUAUCAGCUUGUUGGUGAGGUAACGGCUCACCAAGGCAUCGACGGGUAGCUGGUCUGAGAGGAUGAUCAGCCACACUGGGACUGAGACACGGCCCAGACUCCUACGGGAGGCAGCAGUGGGGAAUCUUGCGCAAUGGGCGAAAGCCUGACGCAGCAACGCCGCGUGCGGGAAGAAGGCCCUCGGGUUGUAAACCGCUUUCAGCAGGAACGAAAUGACGGUACUUGCAGAAGAAGGUGCGGCCAACUACGUG